GUGGAUCCUGUGAACUGCAGGACACAUGAACACCGACAAGUUGAACGCAUAUUGCACAUCGCACACCCGUACGAUGUACACAUUUUUGAGUGCCUAUAUUUAUCCAUUCAACUAUAUGCGUCAACGCACGCAUAUGCAUAGUGAUGCUUUCCCGCCUUCGGUGGUGGUAAAGCAUUCAAGUCAGUCAGCCACAUGCAUGCCGCUGCAUGGAGGUCGUUGUUGAGACACGUACAACCCCUACACCCUGGUGCUCCUAGCGGCAGCGGAGUGCGGUAGUAUGCGAUCACCGGACAAUCCAAUCCACUAGGCCGCAAAUAAUGUGUGACUACCCCCCAAAUAAAAGCAUAUCGACAC
rnacentral:rRNA from 2 species